ACAACGAUGAACAGAUUUGAUGAGGGAGCAUGGUAAUGGAUCGUGGGACAUCCACACGAAAGCAACUGGUUGACCAACGGUCAACCACAACCACUGCCUACCACCGGAGCGACACUUGUCACUCAUGCAUUGGGCCAGGCAUGGGUAUUUGACCCUGGCUUUGGAGAAGACGAGUUCAUUUGAUGAACUCCUUUCUCUCUCCUCACCUCAUAGCCAAAGCUGCUCUUCAAUCUCACUUGUCUUCUUUGUUCAUAAACUUACCGGAGAAGCAGCGGCACGCGGCGGCCGCCACCGUCUUCUCCGAUGAAGACCUCUCUCAACCCAGAAACACAACCGACACCACCUUUUUCUUGGCCAAGGAUUACAGAUCCAGCCUUAGAUUUCAAAGAAAAUCAACCAAAGUAACCCGAAUCAGCAAAGAAAUCCGAAAACCCCAACCCUCUAUAAGCCAAACUAAAUCCCCAUAAAUCAAACGAAAUCCAAACGGAUAUGGAGUGCUGAAGAGACACGUAUGAUGGUGUUUUGUGAAAGUGUUCAAAAUAGUUUGAAAGAGAAUACCUAAUCGGAACCAGUCUGACGUAGCUCCGACGAAGAACUUUUGGUGAGGUACUUAGCUCUGUUCCGAAACGAGCUUCACUGUGAAGGCUCAGAGGGACUCUUAGAGAAGAGUUUUGAGUGAGGUUCUCUGGAUUUUUUUUGCAGCGUAACAGUAAUGUAAUCUCGGUCCCAUCUUUCUUUUCCGGACCCCUCUAUUUAUAAUGGUUAAACCUUUCCCCUUAUGCCCUCUCCAAUCUAUUUACAAUUUUCUUUUCUUUUCUGUAGGAUAUCCCAAGAAAUCGUGAGUUGUCUUCCUGUUAGUGAGGAGUGGGCGAGAUCCUUGAUUUCGUGGGGAUUACAACAAGGCACGUUUGGAUUCAUAUGGUCCCGAAAAUAACUUCGUGUAUUUACUGAUAAUUUUUCUCUCCCCUAAAACGUCCUGCUUGAUCCUCCCACUUAUUUCCUUGGGUCAUUUCUUUUUGUGUUUGUAUAUUUAGUGAUUGGGUGCGUCGAUUUGUUUAUCAACGUCAUUGUUCUUUCCUUAUCUUUGGUAUUUUUGAUUGAAUGUACGUUUAAAAGCACAAUACUGUGAGGCUUGAGCAGUGGUUCUUUUGAUUAACUUCUCCUCUCUUUUUAACAGGUACCAUAAGUAAAGAUGGGUUUUCAAGUAAAAGUCCUUGACCAACUGUUGCUCUACUUAUAAUUUUCGAUAGGGAAUUUGGUGAUGUGUCAAAUGGAGUUCUGAAGAAUCGGAGCCAGUCGAUGUUCACCAUGGAUAAAACCUUUCCAAAUGUACUUAUGACAUAAUUUGUGAUUCCUGUAUUUGAGUUUUCUCUAUGAUUCUAUGUAACUCUUAAUGUAUGGUUAAAUGUGAUUCUUUGGAGAAUAACUUUUUGUAGAAAAACAUUGUUUCUCCUUACGUGUAUUAUCAUAAACUUUUAAACUUUCAUAAUGAGAAACUUAAGUAAAACACGGGGUCCUCCUCCUCAAGAAAGGAGACGCACUUA